UCUCUUGAGUGCCAUAUGGAGGACAAAAGCGUUCUAUUUCUCCUUAUGCACCCCAGAGACA
rnacentral:pre_miRNA from 1 species